GUUCGUAGACGGAUCCAAUUACCGCAUACAUCCUACUGGAGAAUGCAUGGGACCUUCGGGCCUUGCGCUAUCAGAUGAGCCUAGGUCGGAUUAGCUAGUUGGUGAGGUAAUGGCUCACCAAGGCGACGAUCCGUAACUGGUCUGAGAGGAUGAUCAGUCACACUGGAACUGAGACACGGUCCAGACUCCUACGGGAGGCAGCAGUGGGGAAUAUUGGACAAUGGGCGAAAGCCUGAUCCAGCCAUGCCGCGUGUGUGAAGAAGGUCUUCGGAUUGUAAAGCACUUUAAGUUGGGAGGAAGGGUUGUAGAUUAAUACUCUGCAAUUUUGACGUUACCGACAGAAUAAGCACCGGCUAACUCUGUGCCAGCAGCCGCGGUAAUACAGAGGGUGCAAGCGUUAAUCGGAAUUACUGGGCGUAAAGCGCGCGUAGGUGGUUUGUUAAGUUGGAUGUGAAAUCCCCGGGCUCAACCUGGGAACUGCAUUCAAAACUGACUGACUAGAGUAUGGUAGAGGGUGGUGGAAUUUCCUGUGUA
rnacentral:rRNA from 1 species